UAGGGAAUCUUCCACAAUGGACGCAAGUCUGAUGGAGCAACGCCGCGUGAGUGAAGAAGGCUUUCGGGUCGUAAAACUCUGUUGUUGGAGAAGAAUGGUCGGCAGAGUAACUGUUGUCGGCGUGACGGUAUCCAACCAGAAAGCCACGGCUAACUACG
rnacentral:rRNA from 2 species